rnacentral:rRNA from 1 species
GAAUUGACGGGGGCCCGCACAAGCGGUGGAUUAUGUGGAUUAAUUCGAUGCAACGCGAAAAACCUUACCUGGCCUUGACAUGUACCGAAUUUACCAGAGAUGGUUUAGUGCUCGAAAGAGAACGGUAACACAGGUGCUGCAUGGCUGUCGUCAGCUCGUGUCGUGAGAUGUUGGGUUAAGUCCCGCAACGAGCGCAACCCUUGCCAAUAAUUGCCAUCAUUUAGUUGGGCACUUUAUUGGGACUGCCGGUGACAAACCGGAGGAAGGUGGGGAUGACGUCAAGUCCUCAUGGCCCUUAUGGCCAGGGCUUCACACGUAAUACAAUGGUCGGUACAGAGGGUCGCCAACCCGCGAGGGGGAGCUAAUCCCAGAAAGCCGAUCGUAGUCCGGAUUGCAGGCUGCAACUCGCCUGCAUGAAGUCGGAAUCGCUAGUAAUCGCGGAUCAGCAUGUCGCGGUGAAUACGUUCCCGGGCCUUGUACACACCGCCCGUCACACCAUGGGAGUGGGUUUUACCAGAAGUAGGUAGUCUAACCGCAAGGAGGGCGCUUACCACGGUAGUAUUCAUGACUGGGGUGAAGUCGUAACAAGGUAACCGUA